rnacentral:lncRNA from 1 species
AAAAGCAUGCCAUUAUAACAACAUAUACAUACCAGAUUAAGCUUAAGUAAAGUACAUACAAGUAAGACAGUUUACAACAAUGAUCCUAGCAUGUUAUCUUCUAUACUUGACUCAUCCGGACUUUAGAAUGAUAGUCGAACUAUGGCGAGUCAUGCACCCAUGGUGGCUUGUGAUACUUGGGCUCCCCCACCCUGCCACACUCAUGAGGUUAGUCCAUUCUGCGCCCUGGAGCAUACUGGAAGCCUCCAAG